UACAGAGGGGGCAAGCGUUGUUCGGAAUUACUGGGCGUAAAGGGCGCGUAGGCGGCCUGUUAAGUCGGACGUGAAAUCCCUCGGCUCAACCGGGGAGCUGCGUCUGAUACUGGCGGGCUUGAAUUCGGGAGAGGGAUGUGGAAUUCCAGGUGUAGCGGUGAAAUGCGUAGAUAUCUGGAGGAACACCGGUGGCGAAGGCGGCAUCCUGGACCGACAUUGACGCUGAGGCGCGAAAGCCAGUGGAGCAAACGGG
rnacentral:rRNA from 1 species